rnacentral:lncRNA from 1 species
AGGCUCGGCGUUGGCCUCCGCGGCCCGUGCGAGUGCGCCCUUCUCGGGUCCCCUAGGUCGCGGGGCAGCCGGGGCGGAAGGGGCUUGUUCAUUAUUUUGAGAGUUUGUUGUGAACGUCAUAACCUUUCGUCCUUAAAUAUUGCCGAUACUUGACCUACGCAAGAGACAAUGUCAUGUGAUUCAGCCUAAUAUCUCAGAGGAUGCAGCAUUCAAGGUUCUAUCUUGGAAGCAGAGACUGUGCCCUCACCAGAUGCUGAACCUGCUGAGCACCCUGAUCUUCCACUUCACCUUCAUCAGAACUACUGGGGCUGUGGCUGAGAUGUCACAUGGCAGAUAGGAUCACAAAUUUCUGUUGUAUCUGGAUGGAGAUCAGCAGGAGGAUCUAUGGACUGCUGUGAUUGCACCUGCCAUCUUAUGCAGAAAUGACCUGAAGACAGACUGAAACAACGUGU